rnacentral:misc_RNA from 1 species
AAGUCGUAACAAGGUUUCUGUAGGUGAACCUGCAGAAGGAUCAUUAGUGAAGAUUUGGGCAGGCCAUACGGACGCCAAAAAAGUGUCCCUGGCCGCCUACACCCACUAUACAUCCACAAACCCGUGUGCACUGUCUUGGAGAAAGGCUUCUUGAGAAGUUAUGUGACCUCUCUUGGAGGUCUUUCUUCGCUACAAACUCGAAUGGUUAGUAUGAACGUGGAACUUGGUUGGACCGUCACUGGCCAACAAACUAUACACAACUUUCGACAACGGAUCUCUUGGUUCUCC